rnacentral:rRNA from 1 species
CAGCCGCCACGGUAAUACGAAGGGGGCUAGCGUUGCUCGGAAUGACUGGGCGUAAAGGGCGCGUAGGCGGUUUGUACAGUUGGAUGUGAAAUUCCUGGGCUUAACCUGGGGGCUGCAUUCAAUACGUGCAGGCUUGAGUGUGGAAGAGGGUUGUGGAAUUCCCAGUGUAGAGGUGAAAUUCGUAGAUAUUGGGAAGAACACCGGUGGCGAAGGCGGCAACCUGGUCCAUUACUGACGCUGAGGCGCGAAAGCGUGGGGAGCAAACAGGAUUAGAUACCCCCGUAGUCCCUGUCUCUUAUAC